UUUCCGUAGGUGAACCUGCGGAAGGAUCAUUAUUGUAUAACCGAGGUGCGAGGGUUGUCGCUGACCCGCCAGGUCGUGCACGCCCGAGUGCCCUCACACACAUCCAUCUCACCCCUAUGUGCACCACCGCGUGGGUCCCCCUUUGGCUUGUUCGGAGGGGGGCUUACGUUUUAACACAAACUUUGUAUGCAGUGUAGAAUGUAUUUUUUGUUUUUGCGAUCACGCAAUCAAUACAACUUUCAACAACGGAUCUCUUGGCUCUC
rnacentral:misc_RNA from 1 species